CACGUAGGGUGCGAGCGUUGUCCGGAAUUAUUGGGCGUAAAGAGCUCGUAGGCGGUUUGUCGCGUCUGCCGUGAAAGUCCGGGGCUCAACUCCGGAUCUGCGGUGGGUACGGGCAGACUAGAGUGAUGUAGGGGAGACUGGAAUUCCUGGUGUAGCGGUGAAAUGCGCAGAUAUCAGGAGGAACACCGAUGGCGAAGGCAGGUCUCUGGGCAUUAACUGACGCUGAGGAGCGAAAGCAUGGGGAGCGAACAGGA
rnacentral:rRNA from 1 species